UACGUACCGUCCAAACGUUAUUCGGAAUUACUGGGCUUAAAGGGUACGUAGGCGGCGCUGUCAGUCGGGUGUGAAAUCCCAGGGCUCAACCCUGGAACUGCGCCCGAUACUGCAGUGCUUGAGGGAGACAGAGGUAAGCGGAACUGAUGGUGGAGCGGUGAAAUGCGUUGAUAUCAUCAGGAACACCAGUGGCGAAAGCGGCUUACUGGGUCUCUUCUGACGCUGAGGUACGAAAGCUAGGGGAGCGGAGGGG
rnacentral:rRNA from 1 species